rnacentral:rRNA from 1 species
UUAAAUUGAAGAGUUUGAUCAUGGCUCAGAUUGAACGCUGGCGGCAGGCCUAACACAUGCAAGUCGAGCGGUAGCACAGAGAGCUUGCUCUCGGGUGACGAGCGGCGGACGGGUGAGUAAUGUCUGGGAAACUGCCUGAUGGAGGGGGAUAACUACUGGAA